UACGUAGGGGGCAAGCGUUGUCCGGAUUUAUUGGGCGUAAAGAGCGUGUAGGCGGCUUUACAGGUCCGUUGUGAAAACUCGAGGCUCAACCUCGAGACGCCGGUGGAAACCGUAAGGCUAGAGUCCGGAAGAGGAGAGUGGAAUUCCUGGUGUAGCGGUGAAAUGCGCAGAUAUCAGGAGGAACACCGGUGGCGAAGGCGGAUCUCUGGGCCUUACCUGACGCUGAGGCGCGAAAGCUAGGGGAGCGAACAGG
rnacentral:rRNA from 1 species